GACGAACGCUGGCGGCGUGCUUAACACAUGCAAGUCGAACGGAAAGGCCCUGCUUUUGUGGGGUGCUCGAGUGGCGGACGGGUGAGUAACACGUGAGUAACCUGCCCUUGACUUUGGGAUAACUUCAGGAAACUGGGGCUAAUACCGGAUAGGAGCUCCUGCUGCAUGGUGGGGGUUGGAAAGUUUCGGCGGUUGGGGAUGGACUCGCGGCUUAUCAGCUUGUUGGUGGGGUAGUGGCUUACCAAGGCUUUGACGGGUAGCCGGCCUGAGAGGGUGACCGGCCACAUUGGGACUGAGAUACGGCCCAGACUCCUACGGGAGGCAGCAGUGGGGGAUAUUGCACAAUGGGCGGAAGCCUGAUGCAGCAACGCCGCGUGCGGGAUGACGGCCUUCGGGUUGUAAACCGCUUUCGCCUGUGACGAAGCGUGAGUGACGGUAAUGGGUAAAGAAGCACCGGCUAACUACGUG
rnacentral:rRNA from 1 species